GUCCAUGGGGUCACAAAGAGUCAGACAUGACUGAGCGACUAACACUUACCUAGACACUUGAAGAUGUAUUUGGGAUUCAUGAGUCAUAAAGGGCAGCUGGAAGCCCAAAGGAUUUUCCUGAGAUUCAACAUUACAGAAAUAUGCAGGUAAAAGUAAUAUAAGUAUGAAUGAAGAAUUAUCUCUAGAAAAAGUACAUAAAGUUGCAAACUGUUUACAGAAAGGUUACAACAACUUGUAAGGCUCAAGUCCAUUGAUCUGGACGGAUUUCCCUGUUGUGAACUCUUCACUUGGGUUCAUUUCUGAUUUGAGCCUCUGGAGGAAGGGGUGUGGCCCCCUGAGUGACAGGUUGGCUCUGAGGCCUGGCAGGGACAGUGACAUCUCAGAAGGACUCCCUGGAGAGCCCCUCUCCCCUCUCAUCCACACUCAGACCAGAGGGCCCUCUGCCUGCCCCGCCCCUGCCAUGAGCCCCUGCCUCCUGGGCUGUGUGGUCUUCUGUCUCCUGCAGGCAGGGGCGGUCCAUGCUGGUGUCACUCAGGACCCCAGAUUCCAGGUCGUGAGGACAGGACAGAACGUGACACUGAGAUGUACUCAGGAUCUGUACCACGACAGUAUGUACUGGUACCGACAAGACCUGGGACACAGGCUGAGGCUGAUUCAUUAUUCAUCUCUCACUGAUGCCACGUACAAAGGAGACAUGCCUGAUGGCUACAGCGUCUCCAGAUCAAGCACAGAGAACUUUCCUCUCACGCUGGAGUCUGCCAACCGCUCCCAGACAUCUGUGUACUUCUGCGCCAGCAGUACUCCACAGCGCUGCAGGGUCACCUCCUCUCUGUGCAAAAAGAUGGGGGAGGCCCUUGUAGGCUCCUAG